rnacentral:rRNA from 1 species
UAGGGAAUAUUGGACAAUGGGCGCAAGCCUGAUCCAGCCAUCCCGCGUGAAGGAUUAAGGCCCUAUGGGUUGUAAACUUCUUUUCUCUGGGAAUAAAAACCGGUAUUUAUACUGGCUUGAAGGUACCAGAGGAAUAAGCACCGGCUAACUCCGUGCCAGCAGCCGCGGUAAUACGGAGGGUGCAAGCGUUAUCCGGAUUCACUGGGUUUAAAGGGUGCGUAGGUGGUUUUGUAAGUCAGUGGUGAAAGCCCGGAGCUCAACUCCGGAACUGCCAUUGAUACUGCUUAACUUGAAUCAACUUGAGGUGGAUGGAAUAUUACAUGUAGCGGUGAAAUGCUUAGAUAUGUAAUAGAACACCGAUUGCGAAGGCAGUUCACUAAGGUUGUAUUGACACUGAGGCACGAAAGCGUGGGGAUCAAACAG